CACGUAGGGGGCGAGCGUUGUCCGGAUUUAUUGGGCGUAAAGAGCUCGUAGGCGGUUCGGCAAGUCGGGUGUGAAAUUUCGAGGCUCAACCUCGAAACGCCACUCGAUACUGCUGUGACUGGAGUCCGGUAGAGGAGUGCGGAAUUCCUGGUGUAGCGGUGAAAUGCGCAGAUAUCAGGAGGAACACCAACGGCGAAGGCAGCGCUCUGGGCCGGUACUGACGCUGAGGAGCGAAAGCGUGGGGAGCAAACAGG
rnacentral:rRNA from 1 species